GGCCGCCUGGCGAAAUGGCAUCGCGUCUGACUACGAUUAUAUUUAGCGCAUUUUCGAAUCAGGAGAUUGCAGGUUCGAGACCUGCGGUGGUCA